UACGUAGGGGCCUAGCGUUGUCCGGAUUUAUUGGGCGUAAAGAGCUCGUAGGCGGCUUGGUAAGUCAGGGGUGAAAUCUCCACGCUCAACGUGGAGGGGCCACCCGAAACUGCCAUGGCUUGAGUCCGGUAGGGGAGUGUGGAAUUCCCGGUGUAGCGGUGAAAUGCGCAGAUAUCGGGAGGAACACCCGUAGCGAAGGCGGCACUCUGGGCCGGUACUGACGCUGAGGAGCGAAAGCGUGGGGAGCAAACAGG
rnacentral:rRNA from 1 species